UAAAGUGAACAGGCAAGGACUUCUAUUUCAUUAAGUUAUCAGGUGGGCUUACUAAUCAAGAAUAAAGAUGCAUACUUUAUUAUAUAAAGUUUAGUGUAUGCAUUUAUUUUCCAAUUAUUGACUUGCCAAUAUUUGAGAUUUGUAUGAUACCAUCUACAUAGAACAACGAAUUCGGUCUGAGCGAUAGGAUUUGUGUACACAGAGUUGCAGUUAACCUUUGGUUAGCUUGUCACGUGUUUGAGAAGAGGCCUACUUCUCAACACUUAAGUUAUAUGAUGCGUAGAUAUGGUACUACAUGUUAAUUGUCUGAGACGUAAUGAUGUAUGUGAUUAUAGAGAAUUUACAGUUUUCAUCACAGGUUAUUUAAAUAAAACUCUGUGUGAUGUUGAGAUGCAAGUUCAAUAUAUAGCUUUAAGAGCAAGCUUUAAAGUUAUUUCGGCAUGACCACUGAGUGCUUUUUGGUACUCAGCCCUGCAUAUGUUUCUAAAUAUGCAGGUUAAGCUGUGGUGCAGAUGGAAGCGAGCAGAGCAAAUUCUUUGAUGUAUAUGUAUUAAACCAGGCUCAGGAUUCCAUGUCUUCAUACAUGUAAUCCACAUGAAUUAUUCCGCUGCAACACUUAGUCUAUUCUACUUUAUCGAUGUGUUGUAUAUAUUUUAGAUCAAUAGCUUUGAGAAUUAUGUCACUUGAAAGUUAGACAACUUGUCGUUGUGUAUUGUAAGUUGUCUACUCAUGAGUUUUAAAAGUGAUUGCCUAUGAUUAUCCAAUAUUAAAGUAAUUCAUCGUUAAAGCGGGUUCAUUAUUAUUAUUGAAAUCUCUUUUCUUUUGCAUUUUCUUACUCCCUUUCCCAGUCACACCUUUCCCCGGCUUAACUAUACACUAGCUUAGGCCGGGCUGUGACAGAGUGGUAUCAGAGCAGGUCAUUUGCUCUGAGCCUAAAUAUUCCCUUGAGUCUAGUCUAAAUUUGAAUAUUUGGACUAGUAUGAGUA
rnacentral:lncRNA from 1 species